GGUGGGGUAAGAGCCUACCAAGGCGACGAUCAGUAGCUGGUUUGAGAGGAUGAUCAGCCACAUUGGAACUGAGACACGGUCCAGACUCCUACGGGAGGCAGCAGUAAGGAAUAUUCUGCAAUGGGCGCAAGCCUGACAGAGCAAUACCGCGUGAGGGACGACUGCCUACGGGUUGUAAACCUCUUUUCUCAAGGAGGAAGAACUGACGUUACUUGAGGAAUAAGCAACGGCUAACCCUGUGCCAGCAGCCGCGGUAAUACAGGGGUUGCAAGUUUUAUUCGGAAUCAUUGGGCGUAAAGCGUCUGCAGGUUGACAUAAAAGUCUUUUGUUAAAUAUCAGAGCUCAACUCGGAAUAUGCAAAAGAUACUAUAUGU
rnacentral:rRNA from 1 species